GGGUCGUUAGCUCAGUUGGUAGAGCAUGGCGCUUUUAACGCCGUGGUCGUUGGUUCGAGUCCAACACGACCCA
rnacentral:tRNA from 1 species